UUUUCUGCUAGAUCAUACAGCAAUUCAUGCAACGUGUAGUAGAAGACAGGCUUACCUGUCCCAGAGGAGCGGCGGAAUCUGUUAUGACGCUGAAUGUAGAAUCUGGACACCAAAUCAUUCAGGUAACCGUCGCCUGCAUCCUCCACCCUCUCAUUCGGAUCGCCCGGCUUGAUAAAACCUUGCGCCAUCCAGAGCUGAACCAGUUCUAAAGCUUUGAACUUGUAGCCUCUAGGAUACAGGCGACAGUACGAGAAGCAACGCUGAAGAUGUGCCGGCAAAUGCCGAAAACUCCACAUCAGCGCUUUGGUUUUGUCGCCGGACCAGUCCUUGUCUGCGAUCGUUUCCAAAUAUGCAUGCAAAUUACCUUGCGAACGAAAGAGAUCGGCCAGCUUCGUAGCGAUCGUCUUGCCAACCAUCUUGGCCGCCGUAGGGUCCUUGUUCAACUUCGCAGCGAUUGUCUUGCAUUUCUCUUUUAAAUCUUCUCUUAAGUGAGAAUCGAAUUCCCCGCUAGGCAAUGCGUAUUGAAUGAAAAGAUCCGCAAAGUCAUUCUCUGCUAAAUCUUCCAAAUGACAAAUGUAUUCUACAACAGCAGCACCAUUAGCAGCAACAAUCUUUCUCGGCGCAUCGUCCGUUUGAGACGUAACUAAAAUCUUGCUCCCCGGCAAACAACAACAUUUGCUUAAACAUCUGAAUAGCAUAUCCCAAUUAUUUUCAUGGUCUUCUCCGUCGCACCAAACAUCAUCUAUCACGAGCAGGAACUUCUUCGCGUUCAGCUUUUUGUUCAUUUUCAGCUGUAGUGCUUCAGGCGUGUUGAGGUUGCCCACGACCAUCGUGUCGAGGUUAGAAAGAUGGGUAUGGAACGUUGCGGCGAUAUCAUCAGGGUUACCAAGAUCUUCUUGAGGCUCGCUUGCGAUAGAAGCUUGUUGUAUGAUGUCUUUCAUAAUUUCGGAUGCGUUGAAGUUGCAAGAUGCGUGGACCCACAUGAUGGGAUGAAAAUGUUGUCUGUCACCUAACUCGCUCCCCAGCUGCUCGCAAACGUACUGUGCGAGAGUAGUCUUCCCGACCCCCGGGCGACCGACUAUGGCAAUUAUAGGUACGCCUGCUGCAGGUUCUAUCUUCAAACGCCGAAUGAUUUCGUCACGAUCUUCAUCGCGGCCGAACACUUUCGGCGGAGGCAGCGAGAUGGUCUGCUUGCUAUCAGGCGCUGCUGCCGUCUGAUCGGGCUGGGCGCCUAACAAGGUGCGGAGUUUCUCGGCUUCGCCGGCGAUCUUUUCAAGCUUGUUCAGCCUUCGCUUCAGCUUGAUCUUUUGAGGCGACAGCAUGUCCCGGCCGCCUUUUAUCACCCAUUUCACAGGUUUUGGUAUGUGAAAAAAGGAAGAAGAAGAACGCACCGGAUUAGUCGGCCUCUUACCACUGCUUGCUGCCGCCGCCGCCGCCUUGCGUCUGAGGCGGUUGUAGUUGAGGAGGUCCAGCGAGUCCUCCGCGCCGUCGUAAGCGUCUUUCAGCCUCUGCAGCCAGCCCUCCACGUCGCUCCGGUGCGGGCUGCCUUCCGCUUUCUCGAUCACCGAUUUCAGCACCGGGAGGACGGUGGCCCUCAGCUUCUGCAGCUUCUUCUCCGCGUUGAUGCCUAAGCUGGCGAAGCCUUCGGCGAGCAGCUUCGCCACGAGGGGAGACGCCACCCAUCCCAGCGCCGCUAAUCCGAUCGCUUCUACUCCCGACAUUCUCGCGCCAGCAAGCUCAGAACAGACAGCUAGCUAGGUAGCUGCCGGCUGAGAAUUAACGGCACCAAACAAGCGUGGUGGAAGGCCGCGCCACAACAUGCUGCGCCAACUACCCUGGAACAAUGUCAUGAAUAACAAUUUGUUCACUCAAGAGGAGACGGUUGACCAUUUAUUCGUUCGCUGUGUUUUCUCAAGAUUUCUAAUGAUGAUGAGCUUUGAGAUCGACCGGCUGGGGGAUAGUGGGGAUGACGUGACCACGGUCUGGGACCGCUGGAUGACGAGGACGAGAUCACAGCAGCCAUGUACUACAAUAUCCGGAUUAAUACCUGCUGGUGGAUUGUCUAGAAGGUUAGAAAUGAUGUGAUAUUAAAGUAGAUUCAACCGGACCACCUCCAAGCUGGCCACGAGACUAAACAGUUAAAUAAAGUGUUGGGAUCAAGUUCUGUCUUGACCGAUUGUAGUGGGUAAUAAUUGACGAACCUCUUUUCUUUUCUUUUCUUUUUUUUUUUCGUCCCUUCUGAGGCCGUCGUUGUCUCACUCAUGUAGCUAAAUGUAUCAUUUCAAUAAAUGAAGCGGAUAGCGCGCUACCUAUUUCUCAAAAAAAAAAAAAAAAUUAUUUUUUUUUUUUUUUUUUUUUUUUGAGCAAUGCUCUUUGUAUGUGUCAGAAAGGGUGGUGUAUAUAUAUAUUGUGCACAUCUCAAUCCAGAGGUUUUGUCUUGUCAAUUUAUUUUUUAAAAUAUUAAAAAUUUAAAAAAUUUUGUGAAUCUUAUUUGAAAUGAUGAAAUAUAAAUCAUACAUCUUUCUUAAAGUGUACAUCUUACUAUAUGUACUCCCAAAAUAGACGUGUAAAUUUCAAUUACAGCUAAACCAUGCACCUAUAUCCAAGGAUCGAAAUAAUUUUUAUGAAAUUUUAGUAUUAAAAAAAUAAAAUUGUUAUAAAACUAGUGCGAUUAAAUUGAUCCGACCCUUGGAUGCAUUGGUCUUAUUACAUGAGACAAACAUAUAUACCAGGCAUCUAUUAGCAUGGACAAGAAGAGGUGCAACUUGCCAUUGUUUAGAACCUACUCAUGCAACUUGUCAUGCAUUGUUUAUAAUCUACUCAACUACCGUAAAAUAAUAAUGAUAUAAUAUAUAAAUAAGGGCGAUUUGCAUGGUCCUCAAACUAUGAGGCAUGUGACGCUUCGGUCCUCGAACUGUGCAUAUUGUUGAUGUAAAAGUAAUAUAAUGUCGUAAUUAUUGGCGCAUCAUUAGUCGUAAUACUGCUAUAUUACUUCUAUAUUAACAAUACGCAAAUUUUUAGUCAACCAAAUUAAGUUAUAAAUAAAGAAGAUGCAUUUUGAGUACAGGUGGUACUGGACAAGCUAACGGAAGGAUUCAAUUGCAAUAAUUCUAAAAGCUCGAAUAAGAAAUUAUAAUAAAUUAGAGUAUGAUGACCAAAACGUCACUCGACUUAUAGUUUGAGAACCAAACAUGCUAUUUACCCUGAUAAUAAUAUAAUAUAUAAUAAUUGACACAAUUAGGCCCUGGCCCUUAUCUCUCUCUAUAUGUACAUAUAACCUUUUCUUAUAAUUAAGAUAAAAUGUAUUGGCACAAGUCCGACAAAUAAUAUCAAUACUAAUCUAUACUUUCUUAUUGACUAGAGUCAGUGAACAUUGACAGUAAAUACUACCUUCUCUAGAUAGCAACUCUCUCAGAACUUUGUUCUGAAACCUGCUGGGUUAAGGCUUCUACUAAAUAUUGUUAGUGACCCAAAAUGUGUUUGGUUAAUGGGAUCAAAUCCAACCAAAAAUUAAGUUCAAGUUAAUAGUUGGAUAAACUUCUUUUAUUAUGUAUAUAUAUGUUAUAUAUAUAUAGCUUUCUAAUUUGUGUCUAAUAUCAGAUCUGUCUUAAACAGAAUCCACAUGGAUGAAUGUACCCCGUGAAUGAUUAUAACUCCAUGCGUGUGGGUAAUAUCUUGGGCUCAAACUGCUUUAUUUUGAGACAAGUCUCGUAUAAUCUUCGUGCUGAGUUACCCUGAUUAUAACUUAAUUUCUGUUCGUAAAUUAUGAGGAAUGCAUCAUUCAUCGGCAACAUAUGAGGCCCGUUUAAUCUGAUCAUGUUCACACCGUAAAUUGUAACCAAAAGCACAAGAGGUACUACAACAACAAAUUUUUUUUUUUAAUUUUUUUUUUUGAGAGAUAGGUAGCACGCUACCCGCUUCGUUUAUUUUAUUUAGAAAUAAACUUAGCUGCAAAUGUAAAUCAACUAGGAUUCAAACUUGGGUCUUGGAUACCAACCACCAAGCCUUUGCCACUUACUCUAGGAACGGUUGGUUACAACAUCAAAAUUAAAACACUCAAAUUCACAUACAAACACAACAUAAAUUUCAGGUUUACAGGGUCUUUAGUGUAAAAUUUCAGGUUUACAGGGUCUUUAGUUUACACCGUACUAAACAUAAUACGUUAAGAGAGAAAAGUAUGAAAACAUAUUAUAUUUUAAGACCACAAUGCACACCAUGCACAAAAUUAACCGAACCAAGUCUUCGACAACACCGACCGUCCCUAGAGCAAGUAGCAAAAGGUUUCAUGGUUGGUAUCCGAGGUUCCAAGUUCGAAUUCUAGUUGAUUCAUAUUUCCAGCUAACUUUAUUUCUCGAUGAAAUAAAAGAAGCGAGUAGCAUGCUACCUAUCUCUCAAAAAAAAAUGUCUUCGACAACAAAAUUAAAACACUCGCAUACUAAUAUGUUAAUAAUUCUAGGUCUACAGAGUCUUCUGCGCUGUACAAAACAUAAUACAUUUUAAACAAAAAAAAAGUGAAAUAUAAUACAUUUUAUGACCACAAUGCAAACCAUGCACACUCUUUUUUUUUUGCUUUUUUUCUUUUUUUUGGCUUUUUUUUUUUUUUUUUUUUUUUUUUUUUUUUUNAGAUGCCUGCAAAAAGAUUGCGAAACCAAUACAGAAUGAGAACACUAAAAAAUAAGCACAAUGAAAAUAAAGUGAUACAUAACGUUCAAAUAGAUUAGAAGGAUGCAAUUUGAAUUGCAAGAUCAUGAAUCUUAUCCUUUAAAUUAUGGGAUUUAUAGAAAAUUACAGCAAAAAAACUGAUAUAAAAUACUUUUUUACCACACUUUUGAAUCUGCAGGAAUUAAAAGUAAGGGAAGUAAUACAUCUGAAUCAUGUUGAUUUAGCAAUUAAGAUUCGAAAAGGACAAUGAUUAGAGAAUAGGACUGUAGGAUUGUAUCAUAACACCGAUAAGAUAAACCCCAAUCCUAGAACCAAAUUAUACUCAAGCACUUUAAUAAUGAUUCUACAUUUGAUGGCAUGAAAGAAAAAAAUUUGAAAGAGUAAUUCACAUAGAAGUGCAUGAUGAGUACAGAAGUGAAUGCAUCCACAUACUGCAGGGAUAAAUAAUAUUAUUAUCUUCAAUAGAUACAUAGAUGAGUGAUUAUAAAGUAUUUCAAUCUAAAACUAGGUCAGUUACAUCGUUUUUAAUUCUAAUCUCAAAACACAUAGGCAAGGUGUAGAAAAGUUUGAAGUACUUCAAGAUCUUCGCUGAUUCAUCAAGAGACUGAUUAACUUAUGCACUUUUAAUGAGUAAAAAAGAAUAAGAAGAUCAGGAAUUCAAAGUUUGCCAAUUUGUAAGAACGGGAAGGCGAUACGUACCUUUUUUCCACAUUACAGAGCAUGUUCGAAGCUAUCUUCUACAGGGAUGCCGUUGAGCAUACGCCUGCCCGUAAGGGGGUCAAUUUCUAUGGAUUCCUCUAAAAUCGGACAUCCGUGUAUUACUAAACUCUUGAGUGACCUGGGCAAAUUCAUCACUGCCUCCAGAUUCGAGCAGUUCUGCAGAAUGAGAUUUUCUAGAGAGUGCAGUUCCUUCAAAUCCACCGAGAAUGAGACGCCAGAACAAUCCAGGAUACUCAAGGAGUGGAGAGAUCGGAGGUUGCGAAACUGUAACGAUGCCGCUCGCGUACGACAUUGAGUAAUCGUAAGACGAGAUAGAUGUGGCAAAUUCGCAUUGGCUAGGAUUGCAUCUACAUCUGCACAAGACUCAAAACGGAUAUACCGCAACGAGGACGGCAGCACAGCAGUUUCAAUGUCCAAGCAGGGGCAUCUGAUUAGAAGGAGAUUUACGAGACGGGGGAGGGAUCUUAUACCACCCAGCGAAGUGAGAGCCCAGCAGUUGGUCAGACCUAAAGUUUGGAGUGAUUUUAGGUUGGCAAGGACGUCCGCAGACGGUAGACGGGUUAUCAUUUUGAGAUCUGCUAACAACAGCCGCAUAAGGGAGGGGAGGUUUUGUUGUAGGCAUACCGAGAAUGCGUGGUUGGUAAUGUUGCAUCCCUUCAGCCGGAGCCUAGUAAUGGUGGAGGGCAGAAGCAAUUUGGCCUCAUUUGGUCUGCUGUAAAUCAACUCCGUUUUUCGCUCGUGCAUCUCCAACCAUCUCUCCUGGACAGCUGUAAUAUCUGCAUCCGUGGCAGGCACACUCUUAUUAUGCCCUCGAGAGCUAGCUUCAUCACUGUCGGAGCCAUUCGUUGGGGCUAUGAGAUUCCUCAUUUCUCUUUCACUGUCGUCUAAAGACUGUUGAAAAUAUUUGUGUGGGAACCAUUUCGGCAUCCUUUCCCUCAUGACCUUUAUUAUGGAUCUUUUGUCGGCUGGGCUCAUCUGUAGGUCUUCCUUUGUUACAAAGGUGAGAAAUGGCGCACGAAUUAUUGUGAAUUCUUGAAGUCUCGGAGGAAGGGUGUGUAACGCUUCAAGUCUAGAAAGAUCCCAGAGCUCAAGUGAUCUGCAAUAAGGGUAAAGCUGGUCCAUAGGUGGGAGCUCUUCGAGCAUUCCACACCUCCUCAGCGCAAGUUCUUGAAUGUUGGAUGUUUGAUUUUCGGGCCAAGACGGCCACGACUGUCCUCGAUACCCGUCUAGAUGAAGGCCGGUAAGAUUGGGAGGCAAUUGGAGACCCUCAAGAAUUUUAACAUCCAAAUUAGAACUUACGUUGUCCUCGCCGUCGCGCCAUACCAACUGGAGUGAAUCAAGAUGCUUCUUUUCUUUCAAAUCGGCGGCAAUGGCGCUCUCCUCGCUCUCAACAUUCUCAAGAUUAUCAAUGCGCAGGUGUCCUCGAAGUUCGUUCAAGUUCUUUAGUUGCUCCAGUUCAUAUCCUUUUUCCUUUCUCACCUGAAAAUUCUCUAGGCCUUGCAAGGAAGUUAACUUGCUGAUCUCGGCUAUGACAGAAGGCCGUAGAUACCGCAAGCCGACCAAGUCGGUAAGGCGUGCAGGAAGCGAGCUAGCGUUUUCUACUUCCAACACCUGAAGCUGAUACAGAGUGGACACCAACUCCGGCAACACGAACUCGCUAGUGCCUCCCGAAACUUGCAGGAUCCGAAGGUGCUUCAUUUCGCUUAUAAACUUUGCCAAAUUUUCUAAAUUUAAUCCCAAAACCAGCAGCACGCGCAACUUUUUUAAGCUCUUGAAGAUGUCGGUCGCAACAUUUUCGUCUGAGACGACGCUUUCUCCUUUCGCGACGAUUAGGGUGCGAAGUUUCUUCAGUUUGCAAAUUUCCUCCUUCUUCUCAUUCAUUUUGUCAGCCGGUAUGCACAGAUGGCGAAUAGUCGACGGGAUCUCGCUCUGACGAUUACCUUCUAUUCUAACACAAUAACUGCGAGUAACCUUUUCUGCUAGAUCAUACAGCAAUUCAUGCAACGUGUAGUAGAAGACAGGCUUUCCUGUCCCAGAGGAGCGGCGGAAUCUGUUAUGACGCUGAAUGUAGAAUCUGGACACCAAAUCAUUCAGGUAACCGUCGCCUGCAUCCUCCACCCUCUCAUUCGGAUCACCCGGCUUGAUAAAACCUUGCGCCAUCCAGAGCUGAACCAGUUCUAAAGCUUUGAACUUGUAGCCUCUAGGAUACAGGCGACA
rnacentral:lncRNA from 1 species